CCUACGGGGGGCUGCAGUGGGGAAUAUUGGACAAUGGGGGCAACCCUGAUCCAGCCAUGCCGCGUGUGUGAAGAAGGCCCUCGGGUUGUAAAGCACUUUCAGUGAGGAAGAACGCCUGGUGGUUAAUACCCAUCAGGAAAGACAUCACUCACAGAAGAAGCACCGGCUAACUCCGUGCCAGCAGCCGCGGUAAUACGGAGGGUGCGAGCGUUAAUCGGAAUUACUGGGCGUAAAGCGCGCGUAGGUGGCUUGAUAAGCCGGUUGUGAAAGCCCCGGGCUCAACCUGGGAACGGCAUCCGGAACUGUCAAGCUAGGGUGCAGGAGAGGAAGGUAGAAUUCCCGGUGUAGCGGUGAAAUGCGUAGAGAUCGGGAGGAAUACCAGUGGCGAAGGCGGCCUUCUGGAUUGACACUGCCACUGAGGUGAGAAAGCGUGGGUAGCAAACAGGAUUAGAUACCCCAGUAGUC
rnacentral:rRNA from 1 species